GUAAGGAAUAUUGCUCAAUGGGCGAAAGCCUGAAGCAGCAACGCCGCGUGCAUGAUGAAGGCCUUCGGGUCGUAAAGUGCUUUUUUGGGAGAUGAGGAAGGACAGUAUCCCAAGAAUAAGGUACGGCUAACUACGUGCCAGCAGCCGCGGUAAAACGUAGGUACCGAGCGUUAUCCGGAUUCACUGGGCGUAAAGCGCGUGCAGGUGGUUGGGUAAGUCGGGCAUGAAAACUCUUGGCUUAACUGAGAGAAGCUGCUCGAUACUGCCUAACUUGAGGACAUAAGAGGGAGAUGGAAUUCCGCAUGUAGUGGUGAAAUGCGUAGAUAUGCGGAGGAACACCAGUGGCGAAGGCGGUCUCCUGGUAUGUACCUGACACUCAUACGCGAAGGCUAGGGGAGCGAACGGGAUUAGAAACCCUAGUAGUCC
rnacentral:rRNA from 1 species